rnacentral:rRNA from 1 species
ACGGAAGGCAGCAGUGGGGAAUAUUGCACAAUGGGGGAAACCCUGAUGCAGCGACGCCGCGUGAGUGAAGAAGUAUUUCGGUAUGUAAAGCUCUAUCAGCAGGGAAGAAAAUGACGGUACCUGACUAAGAAGCCCCGGCUAACUACGUGCCAGCAGCCGCGGUAAUACGUAGGGGGCAAGCGUUAUCCGGAUUUACUGGGUGUAAAGGGAGCGUAGACGGUCUUGCAAGUCUGAAGUGAAAGCCCGGGGCUCAACCCCGGAACUGCUUUGGAAACUGUAAAACUAGAGUGCAGGAGAGGUAAGCGGAAUUCCUAGUGUAGCGGUGAAAUGCGUAGAUAUUAGGAGGAACACCAGCGGCGAAGGCGGCUUACUGGACUGUAACUGACGUUGAGGCUCGAAGGCGUGGGGAGCAAGCAGGAUUAGAUACCCUGGUA